CCCCUAGAUGUUCUGGGCCGCACGCGCGCUACACUGAACAGUUCAACAAGUCUUAACCUUGGCCGAUAGGUCUGGGUAAUCUUUGAACGCUGUUCGUGAUUGGGAUAGACCUUUGCAAUUAUGGGUCUUCAACGAGGAAUUCCUAGUAAACGCAAGUCAUCAGCUUGCAUUGAUUACGUCCCUGCCCUUUGUACACACCGCCCGUCGCAGCUACCGAUUGAAUGGUCCGGUGAAAUCUCGGGACGGCGGCUUGGUCGCUUGCGUCCGACUGCUGAAACUUGAUUAAACCAUAUCAUUUAGAGGAAGGUGAAGUCGUAACA
rnacentral:rRNA from 1 species